rnacentral:rRNA from 1 species
UUGAACGCUGGCGGAAUGCUUUUACACAUGCAAGUCGAACGGCAGCACGGGUGCUUGCACCUGGUGGCGAGUGGCGAACGGGUGAGUAAUGCACCGGAACGUACCCAGUAAUGGGGGGAUAACACAUCGAAAGAUGUGCUAAUACCGCAUACGCCCCUGAGGGGGGGAAAAGCGGGGGAUCGUAAGACCUCGCGUUAUUGGAGCGGCCGAUGCCGGAUUAGCUAGUUGGUGGGGUAAAGGCCCACCAAGGCGACGAUCCGUAGCUGGUCUGAGAGGAACGACCAGCCACACUGGGACUGAGACACGGCCCCAGACUCCUACGGGAGGCAGCAGUGGGGGAAUUUUGGACAAUGGGGGAAACCCUGAUCCAGCCAUUCCGCGUGAGUGAAGAAGGCCCUUCGGGUUGUAAAGCUCUUUCGCAAGGAAAGAAAACUUAUCUACUAAUACUAGGUGAGGUUGACGGUACCUUGAUAAGAAAGCACCGGCUAACUACGUGCCAGCAGCCGCGGGUAAAUACGUAGGGUGCGAGCGUUAAUCGGAAUUACUGGGCGUAAAGCGUGCGCAGGCGGGUUCGAUAAGUCUGAUGUGAAAUCCCCGGGCUCAACCUGGGAACUGCGCUGGAAACUGUCGAGCUAGAGUGUAGAAGAGGGGGGUAGAAUUCCACGUGUAGCAGUGAAAUGCGUAGAGAUGUGGAGGAAUACCGAUGGCGAAGGCAGCCCCCUGGGCUAACACUGACGCUCAUGCACGAAAGCGUGGGGAGCAAACAGGAUUAGAUACCCUGGUAGUCCACGCCCCUAAACGAUGUCUACUAGUUGUUGGUGGAGUAAAAUCCAUUAGUAACGCAGCUAACCGCGUGAAGUAGACCGCCUGGGGAGUACGGUCGCAAGAUUAAAACUCAAAGGAAUUGAGGGGGGCCCCGCACAAGCGGUGGAUUAUGUGGAUUAAUUCGAUGCAACGCGAAAAAACCUUACCUGGCCUUGACAUGCUACUAACGAAGCAGAGAUGCAUUAGGUGCCCGAAAGGGAAAGUAGACACAGGUGCUGCAUGGCUGUCGUCAGCUUCGUGUCGUGAGAUGUUGGGGUUAAGUCCCGCAACGAGCGCAAACCCUUAGCCAUAAUUAGCCAUCAUUUCAGUUGGGCACUUCUCUGCGGAACUGCCGGUGAUAAACCGGAGGAAGGUGGGGGAUGACGUCAAGUCCUCAUGGCCCUUUAUGGCCAGGGCUACACACGGUAAUACAAUGGCCGGUACAGACCGGGUCGCGAAGCGCGAGGGACGGAGCCAAUCCAGAAGAAAAGCCGGUCCUCAGUUCGGAUUGCAGUCUGCAACUCGACUGCAUGAAGUCGGAAUCGCUAGUAAUCGCAGGAUCCAGCAUGCUGCGGUGGAAUACGUUCCCGGGUCCUUGUACACACCGCCCGUCACAUCCAGGAAGUGGGCUUCUACCAGAAGUACGGUUAGUCUAAACCCGUAAGGGGGACGCUUACCACGGUAGGAUUCAUGACUUGGGGUG